rnacentral:rRNA from 1 species
UACGUAGGCAGCGAGCGUUGUUCGGAGUUACUGGGCGUAAAGCGUGCGCAGGCGGUUCGUUAAGUCCGAUGUGAAAGCCCCGAGCUUAACUUGGGAAUGGCAUUGGAAACUGGCGGGCUGGAGUGUGGCAGAGGGGGGUGGAAUUCCACGUGUAGCAGUGAAAUGCGCAGAUAUCAGGAGGAACACCGGUGGCGAAGGCGGGUCUCUGGGCCGAAACUGACGCUGGGGAGCGAAAGCGUGGGGAGCAAACAGG